CGAUCAGGCCCACGCUAGGCCAGGUCUCACGUUACCCUCCAAAGCUGUCCAGAUGAGAAAGAAGGCGAGCCGCGUGUGGCAGGGACGCGCCGGCACCACACCCUCGGACUCCCAGUGACAGCCCAGCGCGCGAGCGAGCGCCGGGCCGCGGGGUCUCCGGCCUGCCGCCCGCCGCGCCCCACCCGCCCCGCGGCCCGCCCCCGGGCCGGACGAGCAGGCCUAAGCGCCUGCCCGGCUGCGGGGCCUAAAGAAGGAAGGAGCCCGCGCUGAGGAGGUGGCGCCCGCGCCGCCGCCUGGACUCCCAGCGCGGCGGCGGCGCCCGCGGCCCGGGGCUCUCCCGCUCACGUGCUGCCGGAAAGACGGUUUCCCUCUCUUACCCUCUGCAAAAUCCUCCUUAACAUGGUUUUAACACCACCCGGCGCCGCCGCGGUGACUCUCCGAACCCUACGCGGGCUACUCACUACUCGGGGGCACGCGGGCCGGGAGGGGACAGGGGAGAAGAUCGGGGCGAGGAGGUGGCUGCGGCCGCUCAGGCUGCCCCGACUUCCCCACAGGCGACGAGAGGGAGCGAGCGCGAGCAAGCGAACGACGAGGUAGCCGGCGAGCGCCCGCCCGCCUGCCGGGUCGCCCCCGUAACUGACAGCUGGGCGGGCCCGCCCGCGGCCGCCGAGGGGCGGAGCCGCUUCCGCCCCGCCCCCCGGGCCUGUCCGUCCGCUGAGGGCGGGGCUGGAACGGGGCUGGCCCGGGUCUGUGACCAAUCGGAAGCGGCGGGAGCGUGGGCGGCUGCGUGAUGGACAGGCAGCAGUACGCUGGCGCCGCGGCUUCUUCCGGCCGGCCAGAGGACGCUAGGGCAGCUGAGCUCACACCCGUGCUCUGUGAGAGGUCCGCGCCCGCCCAUCGACCGCGUCCUCUCUGCGGUCCGCCUGGGAUGUCCCUGACCCGGGCGGGAGGAGUAUACACCUAUAUGAAACCUUCUACUGAGCUUCAGGCAGUUUUGCAAAAUUUCUCAGUGCGCCCCUUCCGGUUCCUGCUCCUGGACAAGGCGUGGAGCCUGAGCUGAUCCUCAUUUCUGCUGGAAAUCUGACAGCCUUUAGCCCCUGGGUCAAGCAGAGGAGAGAAACCACAGACCUACUUAAACGGUCUUUUGGGCUUUCCUCUGCUUUUCCAUUCCCUGGUUUCCUUUCCCUGCUCCCUUCCUGCUUCUGAUUGCAGUUAAAGAGUCAGCAAGGGAUCAGAAAAAGGAAUGGGAAGAUGCUGGAAUUUGAAUUAGCGAAAAAGAAGUUUGGUCAUGUCCGUUUUGGACCUUCUCAGCCUCUUGUAAGGAAUUUUAAAUCCUAUUUCGAUAAUGGAUAUAUGAAGUAAGUCGCCAUUGAUGCCUGUAUUUUGCAGAUUAAAAAAAAAAAAAAUGAGGUCGCUGCUAAACAGGUGCCAAAACAAGACUUGAACUUGGAA